GCCAGACUCCUACGGGAGGCAGCAGUGAGGAAUAUUGGUCAAUGGCCGCAGGGCUGAACCAGCCAAGUCGCGUGAGGGAUGACGGUCCUAUGGAUUGUAAACCUCUUUUGUCAGGGAGCAAAGGGCGCCACGUGUGGCGCUUUGCGAGUACCUGAAGAAAAAGCAUCGGCUAACUCCGUGCCAGCAGCCGCGGUAAUACGGAGGAUGCGAGCGUUAUCCGGAUUUAUUGGGUUUAAAGGGUGCGCAGGCGGAAUGUCAAGUCAGCGGUAAAAUUGCGGGGCUCAACCCCGUCGGGCCGUGGAAACUGGCGUUCUUGAGUAAGCGAGAAGUAUGCGGAAUGCGUGGUGUAGCGGUGAAAUGCAUAGAUAUCACGCAGAACUCCGAUUGCGAGGGCAGCAUACCGGCGCCCAACUGACGCUCAGGCACGAAAGCGGGGGUAUCGAACAGGAUUAGAUACCCUGUA
rnacentral:rRNA from 1 species